GGUUUCUUCUCGCCGAUAAGGGAGCGAGGGACGGUUUCGAGGCGCAGGACCUUUAUUUUUAUUUUUCCAAGAUGUGUGGCGGAUUCACGUGCUCGAAAAACUCACUGUUGGCCCUUAACAUCUUGUAUGUUAUUGUGGCGUUCAUCCUAUUUGGGGUCGCGGCUGCUGCCAAUGCGGCCUCCAUUGUCACAUCACUGUCACUGGUUACUGGAAUUAUUGUCUGUGGUGUUUGCCUAUUAAUCAUAUCCAUAGUGGGUCUCAUUGGAGCAAGUAAACAUCAUCAGGUGUUGCUGUUCUUCUACAUGAUUGUUUUGUUCAUCAUCUUCAUCAUCCAGUUCUCUGUGGCCUGUGCAUCCCUUGCCAUUAACGAACAGCAGCAGCAGGCUUUCGCUAAGAAGGGUUGGGAAUACUCCAACAACAGCACUAAACACGAUGCACAGCAGUUCUUUGGCUGCUGCGGCUUCGAGAAAUACAGCAAAAACAUAACUACCGAGAUGGAUCACCCAACCUGCACCGAUAUUAAAAACAAAGAUGGCAAGUACUGCUGUGGAGACCCAGCUUCAGCUGACGAUGCAACGUGUUGCCGCAGCGAGAACAGCACAAGCUGUAUGUGUGACCCCUGCAUGGAGCCAAUCCAGGAGUCGAUGGUUAAGGGCCAGAACCUGGUUGGUGGCAUCGGACUCUUCUUCUCAUUUACAGAGUUUCUUGGUGUGUGGCUCACGGUGCGAUACAGGAACCAGCGGGACCCUCGAGCUAACCCUUCGGCCUUCCUGUAGAGCGAUGGGGUCUGUUUUAGCCCCCACUCUCAUUCUCACUAACAUAUCAGAUCAUUGGCUUCCUCAUCGCCAAGCAGUAUCGGCACCAAGUGGACCCCAGAGCCAACAUCCAGUCUCUUCUGCGAUAAUUUUGUUAAAGUGUCUUGGAUAGUUUGGUUCUGGUAUUGAAAAAUGUGCGCAUAUAUGAAUAUAUAUAUACAUUUAUAUAUAUCAUUAUGGUACAUUUCUUGGCACCCAUCCCCCGUCCCCCUAUUUUCCUCCAGUCAUACUCUCACCAUAAUUAUCACUCAAUUGACAUGGUUUUCAUUAUGUGACAUGUGGAAUUCUGUAGCUCUCUGGAAUCCGGGAAGAGCAAUACUCGCAUCCCUUUUGUGCCCUCCCUCCCCUCCCCACUUCCCAUGACCACCCUCCUCCCAAAACACUGUUUGAAAAGAGGGAAGUCUCGCUUGAAGCAUUUUAAUUUUUAUAUUUGUUCUUUUAUUUGAUUGUGGUACGACACUUUUUGUCAGUUUUAUUUUAUCAUUUUUUUCUUUUGUCUUUUCUAUGCACACCAUGACAUCUAGUCCCUCAUGUAUAGAGCCCUCCAUGCAAGUUUGGGUGUGAUGCAGUCAAACUUGUUCUUUAAUGUGUCAAUAAUUUAUAGGGGCAACUGCUAAAUUGGUAACAGUUGUUGAUUUUUGUUAUUUUUUGUUUGCAUGUGGAAUGAUAGUGCUGUUGUUUUUUUCUUUUCUUUUUUUUUUCUUGUUUUUUUUUCCUGUUUUUUUGUUCUGGAUACAUUAUUUAAGAAUUUGUAUGUGGGUGAUGGUGUAUUAAUGUUAUUGAAUAUUUAGUAUAUUAUGGAAGACCUUCUUUAUUUUGUAUUCUCUUUUCAUUAUAUAUGGAAUCUUAAAUUUCCAUUUGCCAUAUCUUUAAUGUUCUUUAUUUGUGCAAUACUUUUAAAGAAACUGCAAUAUUAAUGUCUUUCCUUCAUUUGUUUUUAUUGCUGUUUCAAAAUUAAUUUCUUCUCUCCGUCUUCCUUGUUUACUUGGUGAAAACUUGAAUGCUUAUAUUUUCAUGAUUUGUAAUUAGCUAUCAUUGGCAUAUAAAUUAUUUAGACUGUACUUAACUUUCCAUUAAGUGCAAGUUCUUCCGUCAUGCUUUUUUUGAGGCCAAAAGCAUAGUAGUCUUGCUGAGUGAAGCUGCCAGAUUAUUACUGCGUUCAGACGUGGGACUUUUUCAAAUCUCACGACAUAAUGCUAUUUGGAAUAAUCUUAGCCUGAGUAUUGAGAAUAGAACAGAGAAAUUGUUUUGUAUAAAACAGUUCAAAUAAUUGUGUUCAAGCUAAAGCAAAAGAAAAGAAAGUCUAUUUUUUCUGUGAGAAUAUUAAUUCAUAAAAAAUAAGGUUGAAUAACAAUGAAUGGAUCAAAUGUAUGUGCCUGACUUGUAAAGAAAUUCUAUAAUGUGGUGAACAAUCCAAUAGAUAAUGUUACAUAUUAUGUAUAUUGAAUAGAUGUGACAUUGGUGUCUUCUUGGAUUCUGAAAGUAAGCCAUAGAAAUUAAAAAAUAUUAUGGAAAUUUAAAUCUAUUCACUCUGCAUUUUAUGAACAGAACCAUUUUUUUCCCCCUUUAAGCAGAAUUUGUGUUAGAUGACUGUGUUUAGAAUGUAAUAAUUGUACAUCCCCUUAUAGCCAUUAAGAAUAUUUCCCCAGGUCCUUGGGUAGUGUUCUUGAAGCACUGGUUCAACCUUGCCAGGAUGUGUCACUAGUGGCCAUACUUUUACAGCAGUACCGUAUAUUGUAAUCCAGUUACAGUGUUUCAGUAUAACACAUGAGCUUGUGGUUAGUUAGCAUGGCUCACUAUGUGUGAUGGAUCAUUAUUGUUGUUGUUAUGUAGUCCUUUCCUGUAUUCAGCCAAUAGACCACUUUUACAAGGCUAAACACAAAAAGAAAAGAGAAAGGAGACCUAAGACAUUCACAUUUUCAAAUGAAUUGAAAGUUUCUGAAAAGAAUUUAAUUCUUUGCAAUUUACAUGUGAUCAUAUUUGAUUGUUGGAACAUGACAAACAUUCCAUACUUUGGGUACUGUGUGUAUGAUAAAUUUAUUAUAACUGACAAUCAGCAGGUAAUAACAUCUCAAAUUACACUAAUGUCCUUUGAGGUGAUCUGUUGGUGUUCAAGAUAAUCAGUUGUAUCAUGUAGUGUAUAUUUGAAAUAUGUAUAUGAGGCUUCCCGAUGUAGUUAAGUGGAUUUACAGUUAUGACAUUAAUUGUUAAAUGUUUAUUAGCUUUUCCGUUCAUGGUGCUUCUCUUUCCGAAAUUUCGUUGUAAGGGUCUGUUGGGCUGUCAUCGAAACUCAUUGUCAAGGUCUCAUAUUAGUCUGCAAUGUCCAUUACUGAAUCUUUUGGGCAGAUCAUUCUGGUUGUCAUUUCUCGUAACGAAUCGUGCCCAUACAGAACAGUAUUAUACCAACUGAUAUCACAUCCAAGAGAAUGUUAGUGUUCAAAGAAAGACUUUUGAAAGACUUUGAAUUAAUUUUUUUGAUGUCCUUGAUUAAUGGGAUAUUUGUGUAUAUGCCUCUAGUCAUUAUUCUUCACUUGUUUGGAGCCACAUGAACAAUUUAAUAAAGCCCAUAUUUGACCA